GGCGGUAAUGCGCAUGUGCAGUGGUUGUCAAACACGAUUUAACACGAAGAAGAAGAAGAAGACGAAGACGAAGAAGAAGAAACGGCAGCAGCAGCAGCAGCUCUCAGCUAGCAUCGUGCUAAAUGUCAGCUAACAGUCAAUGAGUCUUCUUUUUGUUGUUUUUUUAUGCACCUGGAUGCUUGUGUAAGAUUCUCCCGGAAGUGACACGCUCAGGAUGUUGGCACUCAGGUGCAUUUCGGGAGAUCUGCGUGGACAUCUGCGGCCGCCGAGGACGUCGCGUGAAGUUCCGCGUGAACUUUUGGCCCGACCCCCUCCGCCGACUCCCGCCCGCCUCUUGUCCCGAGGCGAGCCAUCGCCGGCCAAGUUGAAGCUGAGGACGCGCGUGGCCGUGACUCUGCUGGUGGGCGGCGGGCUGCUGGCGUUGUGGGCGCGGCUCGGCGCCGAGAAGCGGCAGAAGGAGCGGCGGGUGCGCGCCGAGCAGCUGCGGCGGGCGGCGUUGGGUCGGGGCGACUUCAGCCUGGUGGACCACCACGGGCGGCGCCGCAGCAAGCGAGACUUCCUGGGCCGCUGGGUCCUCCUCUACUUCGGCUUCACGCGCUGUCCCGACAUCUGCCCCGACGAGCUGGACAAGAUGAGCGCGGCCGUGACCGACCUGGACCUGGACGCGUCCCUGCCGCCCGUGCAGCCGCUUUUCAUCACCGUCGACCCCGAGCGCGACCACGUGGAUGCGCUGGCCCGCUACGUCAAAGACUUCCAUCCUCGCCUGGUGGGCCUGACCGGCACGGCGGAGGAGGUGAAGGAGGCGGGCCGCGACUACCGCGUGUACGCCAGCCGCGGCCCCCCGGACGAGGACGGCGACUACCUGGUGGACCACUCCGUCCUCAUCUACCUCGUCAGCCCGCAAGGACUCUUCGUGGACUACUACAACCGCCUCAAAGACAAGGAGCACAUCGUGCGCAGCGUGCGCCGGCACAUGGGCGAACACGACGAGCUGCGGCGCUCGUGAUGACGCUGUGACCAAAGCUGCGGUCCUGAAGUCCUCCCGCUGGGGCCGCGCGGCCGCCCGCUUCCUCUUGCCGUUGUCGUCCAGACCGCCGGGAAUCUUGUAGGGCUUUCCUGCACCGGCGAGAGGACAAGUCCGGUCUACCGCCGACCAGACCGCGUGACCCCCGCCCUCCUACCUGACUCAAAAGGAGGAAUCAGAGAGACUGGAGGGAGGGGGGCCACGUCCACCAGCUGCAACACGACGACAACAACAACACAAACUUUGACUGACGGGCGACACAAGCCAACUGGGGGGUGCGCCGUUGGGUGUGCGUCUGUGUCCAUUUGUUUCUAGGCGCAAGUGUGUGUGCGUUUGAGAAGGUCUAACCACGUUGGAUUCGGGCCUGUCCACCCACUCGGCUGUUUCGAUGUCCACUUCGCAAAACUGCAGCAACAACAACAAGUAAGAAGAGUCGAGCAGUUGACAAGCACAUAGCACCUCCCGUUUCUAACCGAAUCGUCGUCGUCGUCGUCAUCAGGGUGCGCCGCCGCUCUGCCCGCGUUGUCGCCCGGCGCCGCUUGUUUGCUUUGCCUGUCGGGAGGAAGGCGGUGGGAAAAAGUCAGAGGAAGUUUCAAAAGUGGACGUGAAGCGUUGCUCACUUCUUGUUGCGGUCUCGUAUGUAGUCCAGCGUUUGGUAGACCAGGUUGUGCAGCAUCUCCACCUGCAGACACAUCACCGUCAUCCUCGUCAGUCACGAUUGAAAAUUGUUGCGCGAACUGCUGGGAGUGAACGUAACUCAUUCACCUCAACACAACCACAGACGACGUUGGGAUGAUGCGCUUUGUAAUUAUUUGGAUUUGAUUCUAUUCACUUUUCCACUGGGAACAAUGUAAAUGUUUAGAUUAAAAGUGACAAAGAAAAGUUACAACAUAUUCAAGUUAAGGAAAUAUUCGCUGGGGGUUUGGUUUGAGCUGUCAUUUGUGUGGUGCGAGAUAUACUUUUUCUCUGCCUUUACUGGUCGUUUGUACUUUCUCUUGAGGUCAUCAACCUCAUUCGAGAAAGCAAAAGGUUGAAGUUGACAAUGGAGCCCGGUGGCGUGCAGGCGGAUCGUCAUGUUCCGGUUUACCUUCUUGCUGUAUAUGCAAGCAGAACCUUGGAUGAGCAACGCCGCCUCGGCAAAGUUCAGUUUGGUUUUUCCUUCGUCGAACGUCAGGCACAGCUCGUCCAGCUACGACACACGCCGCACGUUUGUAACGACAUCAUCCUUGUUUGUUAUUGUUAUUUGUUUUUGUGUCAAGCGAUCGCACCUCCUCCAGGUAGUCGUUGAGCUCGGCCGCCAAGUCGAUGUCCCAGUUCUUGGAGAGCUCCCGGAUGGGCUGCUGCAAGUGAGCGAAUCGGCUCGCUGUGGACUCCAUGGCCGCAGUACACAGCGGGACCGCCAGGUGACG